rnacentral:rRNA from 2 species
UUUAAAUGUAAGUUUAAAUACUAGAUUAGUAUUAGUUAUGUUCUUGAAAAUUAAAAAAUUUGGCGGUUUUUUAGUCUAUUCAGAGGAACCUGUUCUAUAAUUGAUAAUCCACGAUUAAAAUAACUUAUUUUAUUAAUUUGUAUAUCGUCGUAGAUUGAAUAUUUUAUUAGAAAAAAAAUGUUCAAAAUUUAUAAUUAUAAAAUAAAUCAGAUCAAGGUGCAGUUUAUAAAUAAGGAGAAAUGGGUUACAAUAAAUAUAUUUAUGGAUAUUAAAAUUAAAAUUUAAUUGAAAUUGGAUUUGACUGUAAUUUUAAUAAUUUAAUUAAGAUGAUUUAGCUCUAAAAUAUGU